AGUGAACGCUGGCGGUAGGCCUAACACAUGCAAGUCGAACGGCAGCACAGUAAGAGCUUGCUCUUACGGGUGGCGAGUGGCGGACGGGUGAGGAAUACAUCGGAAUCUACUUUUUCGUGGGGGAUAACGUAGGGAAACUUACGCUAAUACCGCAUACUACCUACGGGUGAAAGCAGGGGAUCUUCGGACCUUGCGCGAUUGAAUGAGCCGAUGUCGGAUUAGCUAGUUGGGGGGGUAAAGGCCCACCAAGGCGACGAUCCGUAGCUGGUCUGAGAGGAUGAUCAGCCACACUGGAACUGAGACACGGUCCAGACUCCUACGGGAGGCAGCAGUGGGGAAUAUUGGACAAUGGGCGCAAGCCUGACCCAGCCAUACCGCGUGGGUGAAGAAGGCCUUCGGGUUGUAAAGCCCUUUUGUUGGGAAAGAAAAGCAGCAGGUUAAUACCCCGCUGUUCUGACGGUACCCAAAGAAUAAGCACCGGCUAACUUCGUG
rnacentral:rRNA from 1 species